rnacentral:rRNA from 1 species
CAAACGACUCUCGGCAACGGAUAUCUUGGCUCACGCAUCGAUGAAGAACGCAGCAAAAUGUGAUACUUGGUGUGAAUUGCAGAAUCCCGUGAACCAUCGAGUUUUUGAACGCAAGUUGCGCCCAAAGCCUUUUGGCCGAGGGCACGUCUGCCUGGGCGUCACAU